UACGGAGGGUGCAAGCGUUGUUCGGAAUUAUUGGGCGUAAAGCGCGUGUAGGCGGUCGAGUAAGUCAGAUGUGAAAGCCUUCCGCUCAACGGAAGAAGUGCAUUUGAAACUGCUUGGCUAGAGUACGGGAGAGGAGAGUGGAAUUCCCGGUGUAGAGGUGAAAUUCGUAGAUAUCGGGAGGAACACCAGUGGCGAAGGCGGCUCUCUGGUCCGAUACUGACGCUGAGACGCGAAAGCGUGGGGAGCAAACAGG
rnacentral:rRNA from 1 species